CUGCUGCUGCGGCCGGAGGAGCCGCCGGUUUUCCGCCCCCCCACAUCCCCCGAUCGCUGCUGCCGUGGCCUGAGGAGCCGCCGGUUUUCCCCCCCACACCCCCCGAUCGCUGCUGCUGCGGCCGGAGGAGCCGCCGGUUUUCCGCCCAGCCCCGACUCCUCUCCUUCCACCUCAAUCGCCGCUGCAAGCCGUCAUGACAUCUUCUCUUCCGCCAUCUUGUCUCCCCCUUCUGGUCUCGUUCGCUUUUUUAUACCGAGGGAGGGAGGAGACGCUCGCUGAUUGGCUGACGGUGUCAGCCGCGGAAUUCACCCAUUGGCUCAUCCCCACGAGGGGUUCUCCGAGGGGGUGGGAGAAAGGCGCUGAUUGCUCACCGUGUCGCUGAGGGGAGGAAGGCACUGAUUGGUCACUUUCCGCCGAAGUUCGCCCUCCCAGUACCAGGCGCUGAUUCGCUAGCGCCCCUGAGGUAGAAAAGGCGCUGAUUGGUUGUCGUUUUCCCGCCGACAUUAGCCCACAGCAACGAAGCGCUGAUUGGGCAGCGCGGCUGACAGGGCUGCUCGUCCAUUGGCCGGAGGGCGGGUGGGGGGCGGGACCGGGCGGGACAACGAGGUGAUAAAUGGGGCGGCGCAGAACGCGCGCAGGACCAGAAAGGCAGAGGCGGCAGCGGCAGCGCGACAUCAUCAGCGCGCCCAGCCCCCCCCCCCCCCCACCGCCGCGGGAAACCCGAGAGCGGCAGGAACGGCGGCCGGAAUCAGUUAACGGGGCGGGUCAGGGCGGUAAUUAUCGUGCGGCUGUUAAUUGGGGCUCGGCGGGUUAAUGAGUGACCAGCGGGCUGGCGUGUAUCUGGGGGUUUUGAUCGGAACUGGGGUUUUAAAGCCGCGGGUUUGUGAUGGGGGGGGGGGGGGGGGGGGCGCGAUUAAGGCUCCCGGAGCCGCUUUAGCGGUUUAAAUCGUUGUGUUGAACGCGGGAGGAGCCGGUUCGGGGCUUUUCUCAGCAAUCGGGGCUGGUUUGGGUCCAAUUCGGCUUUUAAAAGAUGUUUUUACGUAAUUUUUGGGUGCCGAUUUGUGCAAAAAGGCGCCUUUAAAAUCUGUUUAUUGAGGGUUUAUCAGGAGAAUUAAAGUUUAAAGCUCGGGGAGAUUUGCGGCUUUUCCCCGGGAUUUUGAGUCCAAAUCGGGUUUUUUUAGAGCCCUUAUUUAUUUAAAUUAUUAUGCUUAAAGGGUUUAUUUGAGGUUUUGUUUGGAACAUUUUGGGUGGGUUUGAGGCUCCCAAGAUUUAAUUGUUUGGUUUAUUAUUUGAUUUAUUAUUUCACUGCGGUUUGGGGCUCCUGAAGACGCUGAAUUGUUUCAAUUAUUUAGAGCUGUGAGGAGCCGUUUUGGGGCCGUUGGGGUCUGAAUCGGCUUUUUAAAAGGUUUAUUUAAUGCGUUUAAAGUUUGAGGGGCCGAUUUGCGACUUUAAAGCUUUUUGAAUCUCCUUAUUGAUAAGAAUUUAUACAAUAGAUUAAUAUUUAAAGCCCGGGGGGAGAUUUGGGGCUGUUUCCCAGGAUUGCGAGUCCAAAUGCGUUUUUUCUGUUAACCGCUUAUUAAUUCAAAUUAUUAUAUUUAAACGGGGCUUUUUGAGGUUUUAUGAGGGUUUUUUUGACCAUUUUGGGCGGUUCUGAGGCUCCUAAAGCCGCUUAAUAGUUUAAAUUAUUAAUUGUUAAAAUAAUGUAAAUAGUUGUUGAAAUAAGUGUGUAAGUUAUUGUAUUUAAAGCCGGGAGGGGCAUUUCGUUGCUUUUUGGGGGGUUUUAGGGCUGAAUUCACUUUAUUGAACGUGUCUAGAGCUGGGGGUCCCAGAUCUGGUGCUGAUUUGCGCCCCAAAAAAAGCUUUAAAAAUCUAUUUAUUUAUAAUUUACUGAAUUAAUAUUUAAGCGGGAACAUGUUCGGCUUUUUUAACCCGCCGCCAUUUUGUCUCCCCCGUUCCGCUGUCCCCUCACGCUGAGGGGCCGAGGAGACGCUUGCUGAUUGGCCGGUGCCGUCUGGCGGGAAAGCCUCCCCUGGCUCAGCCCCGCUCGGCUGUCUCCGAGGGAGAGAAAGGCGCUGAUUGGUCGCUGCCUCUGAGGAGAGAAAGGCGCUGAUUGGUCGCCGCCUCCCUAAACCCACCUCCUGCGCAGAGAACAGCAAAGGCAGCCUGGCCACGCCCUCUCCGGCUGACCGCGCGUGCCCCCCCCCCCGCAACUCGGCUGACCGCGCCCCCCCCGGCUGACCGCGUGUGCCCCCCCCCCCCCCCCCCCCCGCAACUCCGGCUGACCGCGUGCCCCCCCCCAAGUCCGGCUGACUGUGUCCCCCCGGCUGACCGCGUGCCCCCCCACUGCACUGCUGCUGACUGUGUGCCCCCCCACCUCCUCUGGCUGGCCACAUCUCCACUGCACACCAUGGCGGGGAUGGGGCAGGGGGGGGAUCACAAGGGUCUAUGGGGCGGUGUGGGGGUCAGGGCGGAUGUGGGGUCAAUGGGGUUGUUGUGGGGUGAAACACCCCUGAAGAGGCUGAACACCCUGCAUGUGAGUGAACCACACAGUGCCCCACA